rnacentral:rRNA from 1 species
UACGGAAUGUGCAAACGUUAUUCGGAAUCACUGGGCUUAAAGAGUCCGUAGGCGGCAUGUUAGGUGAGGUGUGAAAUCCCCCGGCUCAACCGAGGAAUUGCGCCUCAAACCGGCGUGCUAGAGGAAGAUAGAGGUGGGCGGAACUGAUGGUGGAGCGGUGAAAUGCGCAGAUAUCAGGAGGAACACCGGUGGCGAAGGCGGAUCUCUGGGCCUUACCUGACGCUGAGGCGCGAAAGCUAGGGGAGCGAACAGG